rnacentral:lncRNA from 10 species
UUCACCGUGUUCCUCACCAUGUUUGGUGAGAAGUUAAAUGGCACAGAUCCUGAAGAUGUCAUCAGACAUGCUUUUGCUUGCUUUGAUGAAGAAGCAACUGGCACCAUUCAGGAAGAUUACCUGUGAGAGCUGCUGACAACCAUGGGGGGAUGGGUUCAUGGAUGAGGAAGUGGAUGAGCUGUAUAGAGAAGAUCCUAUUGACAAAAAGGGAAAUUUCAAUUAUAUUGAGUUCACAUGCAUCCUAAAACAUGGAGCAAAAGACGAAGAUGACUGAAAGAACUUCAAGUUCCAGCCAAACAUUCCUUGUUGCCACUUGGGGUAUUUCUGAGAUUUUUCUCUUGCAUGCCCUUAGCUUUACAGCUUUUGCAUUUCCUGUUGUAUUUAUUCUCAGCCAUUUGGGGCACCUGUAUCUUUAUACUCAGACUGGAAAUGGGACUUUCUAUUAAUAUCAUUUUCAGAAUAGAAAAUAGGAAAACAGGGUAAUUAAACCUACCAGCCCCUCCCCACUAAUAACUGUGAUCUAUACAGUGUCAAUAUAUUUUUUCAGAGAAAGUUAUUUGUUCAUUUUUUUCUGAACCAUAAUUAAACUU